rnacentral:rRNA from 1 species
GGACGAACGCUGGCGGCGUGCUUAACACAUGCAAGUCGAACGAGGUUAUGUUGAUGAGAUCUCGGAUGGAUUCAGCAUAACCGAGUGGCGGACGGGUGAGUAACGCGUGAGCAACCUGUCUUACACAGGGGGAUAACGCUCCGAAAGGAGUGCUAAUACCGCAUAGGACCACGAUGCUGCAUGGCAUUGAGGUGAAAGGAGGAAUCCGGUGUAAGGUGGGCUCGCGUCCCAUUAGAUAGUUGGUGAGGUAACGGCUCACCAAGUCGACGAUGGGUAGCCGACCUGAGAGGGUGAUCGGCCACAUUGGAACUGAGAUACGGUCCAGACUCCUACGGGAGGCAGCAGUGGGGAAUAUUGGGCAAUUGGGCGCAAGCCUGACCCAGCAACGCCGCGUGAGGGAAGAAGGUCUUCGGGUUGUAAACCUCUGUCCUUGGUGAAAAGGAAGGAUGGUAGCCAAGGAGGAAGCCCCGGCUAACUACGUGCCAGCCGCCGC